rnacentral:rRNA from 1 species
UAGAGUUUGAUCCUGGCUCAGGGUGAACGCUGGCGGCGUGCCUAAGACAUGCAAGUCGAACGGGCCUGAUUUCGGUCAGGCUAGUGGCGGACGGGUGAGUAACACGUGGGUGAUCUACCCCAAAGUCUGGGACAACUAGGGGAAACCUUAGCUAAUCCCGGAUGGUGAGGCUUCUCCUGUGAAGUCUCUAAAGAUUUAUCGCUUUGGGAUGAGCCCGCGGCGCAUCAGCUAGUUGGUGGGGUAAUGGCCUACCAAGGCGACGACGCGUAGCUGGUCUGAGAGGACGACCAGCCACAGGAGCACUGAGACACGGGCUCCACUCCUACGGGAGGCAGCAGUUAGGAAUCUUCGUCAAUGGGCGAAAGCCUGAACGAGCGACGCCGCUUGAGGGACGAAGCCCUUCGGGGUGUAAACCUCUGAACAGGGGACGAUGAUGACGGUACCCUGCUAAUAGCACCGGCUAACUCCGUGCCAGCAGCCGCGGUAAUACGGAGGGUGCGAGCGUUACCCGGAUUUACUGGGCGUAAAGGGCGUGUAGGCGGUUUUCUAAGUCCGGGGCUAAAGACCAGGGCUCAACCCUGGGUUUGCCUUGGAUACUGGAAAGCUCGACGGCUGGAGGGGGCAGCGGAAUUUCCGGAGUAGCGGUGAAAGCAC